CUUUGACCUCAAAUCAGGUAGGACU
rnacentral:rRNA from 2 species